rnacentral:rRNA from 1 species
GGGGACAAAGUGACAGGUGAUGCAUGGUUGUCGUCAGCUCGUGUCGUGAGAUGUUGGGUUAAGUCCCGCAACGAGCGCAACCCUUAAGCUUAGUUGCCAUCAUUAAGUUGGGCACUCUAAGUUGACUGCCGGUGACAAACCGGAGGAAGGUGGGGAUGACGUCAAAUCAUCAUGCCCCUUAUGAUUUGGGCUACACACGUGCUACAAUGGACAAUACAAAGGGCAGCGAAACCGCGAGGUCAAGCAAAUCCCAUAAAGUUGUUCUCAGUUCGGAUUGUAGUCUGCAACUCGACUACAUGAAGCUGGAAUCGCUAGUAAUUGUAGAUCAGCAUGCUACGGUGAAUACGUUCCCGGGUCUUGUACACACCGCCCGUCACACCACGAGAGUUUGUAACACCCGAAGCCGGUGGAGUAACCAUUUGGAGCUAGCCGUCGAAGGUGGGACAAAUGAUUGGGGUGAAGUCGGAACAAGGUAGCCGUAUCGGAAGGUGCGGCUGGAUCACCUCCUUU